rnacentral:lncRNA from 1 species
GUUGGGGCCUAUAGGGAGGAUAUAACUAGACCAGGACCAGAGUUAUAGUUGGGGCCUAUAGGGAGAAUAUAACUAGAUCAGAACCAGAGUUAUAGUUAGGGUCUAUAGGGAGAAUAUAACUAGACCAGGACCAGAGCUAUAGUUAGGGUCUAUAGGGAGAAUAUAACUAGACGAGGACCAGAGUUAUAGUUAGGGCCUAUAGGGAGAAUAUAACUAGACCAGGGCCAGAGUUAUAGUUAGGGCCUAUAGGGAGAAUAUAACUAGACCAGAGUUAUAGUUAGGGUCUACAGGGAGAAUAAAACUAGACCAGGACCAGAGUUAUAGUUAGGGCCUAUGGUGAGAAUAUAACUAGACCAGGACCAGAGUUAUAGUUAGGGCCUAUAGGGAGGAUAUAACUAGACCAGGACCAGAGUUAUAGUUAGGGCCUAUAGGGAGAAUAUAACUAGACCAGAGUUAUAGUUAUGGCCUUUAGGGAGAAUAUAACUAGACCAGGACCAGAGUUAUAGUUAGGGCCUAUAGGGAGGAUAUAACACGACCAGAGUUAUAUUUAGGGCCUAUAGGGAGGAUAUAACUAGACCAGGACCAGAUUUAUAGUUAGGGCCUAUAGGGAGAAUAUAACUAGACCAGAGUUAUAGUUAGGGUCUAUAGGGAGAAUAUAACUAGACCAGGACCAGAGUUAUAGUCAGGGCCUAUAGGGAGAAUAUAACUAGACCAGGACCAGAGUUAUAGUUAGGGUCUAUAGGGAGAAUAUAAAUAGACCAGAGUUAUAGAUAGGGCCUAUAGGGAGAAUAUAACUAGACCAGGGCCAGAGUUAUAGUUAGGGCCUAUAGGGAGAAUAUAACUAGACCAGAGUUAUA